GACGAACGCUGGCGACGUGCUUAACACAUGCAAGUCGAAGAUAGUGGCGAACGGGUGAGUAAUACGUGCGUAACCUGCCCUCCUUUUUGGGUUAAGCCUUGGAAACGGGGUCUAAUACCGAAUAAAGGGGGAUGGGCUCGCGGCCUAUGAGCUUGUUGGUGGGGUGGUGGCCUACCAAGGCGGUGACGAGUAGCCGGCCUGAGAGGGGGACCGGCCACAGAGGGACUGAGAUACGGCCAAGACUACGACGGGAGGCAGCAGUGGGGGUUAUUGCACAAGGGGCGAAAGCAUGAUGCAGCGACGCCGCGAGGGGGAUGAAGGCUUGCGUGGUGUAAAUCUCUUACGCUAUCGAAAGGGUAGGUGGAGAAGAAGCGCCGGCUAACUACGUGCCAGCAGCCGCGGUAAUUC
rnacentral:rRNA from 1 species